CAGAAGGAGGCUAUGGCAGAGUUGCUUUCUGAAGAAAGGCAGAAAUGCUGUACCAAACAGGAAUAUCCACUAUUAUAUUCCCAGCAAUCUGGUGGUCAUCAGUGCCUUGCUGAUAAACUGGAAAUCCUCACCUUCUUCUAUCCUCACCUCUCAAAUGACCCAUGAAAGAGUCUUGGAGAUCAAAGAAAUCCUCUUCCAACCUUAUCCUUCGGACAGAAAAACUGAUGGGAUUUAGCACCCAUGUGGGAAUAUGAGCAUUGAUUUCAAGAACAAAGAAGCAACGACCUUUUGUCUGCUGCUGUCAUUCCCUGCUUCACCAUUAAGGUAGUUUUCUUUUCUUUUUUUCCCCCCUUAAUGGGAGGUAUUUUGAAAUAAACCCCUGUCAAUCAUGCCCUGAAAAAGAUGAGCCCAUCCCCGAGCAGAAGCCUUUUAAAAAGUUUAAAAAUAGUGAAUGUCAAAACAUGUGGCAGUAAGGUUAACACAGGACUUUGAAUACAUAUGAUAUGAAUUUAUUUAUUUAUUUCAAAGACAGGUUCUUUUUUAGUCACUAAGAAUGUCAAGCUUUAAAGGAGAAAUGAAAAAUCAAACAAGACUUGUGUUCAGUGAAGACCUUUCCAGCCUCUAACAGCGGUCAGUGUAAGAACAGGGCUAGCAAAGGGAGCCAAUUCUUCCUAUGCAUCCUCCUGGUACCUGGCAUUCUGUGAUUUAAGAAUUUCUGAGUUCAUGUUGCAUCCAUAUCUUUGUGUUGAAUUGCACUUAUAGACCACCUUUAUCUAGCUUUGUUUCUUUAUGUUAUAAUUGAUACUAUACAGGGAGAGAAAACAUUCUCUGUUUGUUUUGACCUUGUUUCAGGUGAAAUCCAUUCAUAUUUUUACUGUGAGAAGCGAUGAAAAGCUUUUCCCUUGUUGCCUAUGUCUGUCCCAGCCUUACACAGCGCUGCUGUUGCUUGGUCAGAGGCUGUGUGCUCAGUGUCCCCUUUCUCAAAACCCCCUCAGCUUUUAAGCAUCUUUGUGCAGUACGUGCCCAGCUCCUGUG